UUGGCUCUUUUAAUUUUUUUUUCCUUUACCUAUCAUUGUACCUUUUUAUCAUUAUAAAAUAUGUUAUUAAUUGUAUUUCUAUUUCUUUCAAACACUUACAUGUCUAAUCUAAAGGGUAAAAGGCUGUUUGUCAAGACAUUCAUAUUUUCAAAUACAAUUUCUCUCUCACAUGCAUACAAAUGAAGGAAAAUAUUCAUAACCAAUAAUAUAAAUUAAAUACUUAAACUUCACAUUUUUUAAAAUAUAACCAUUCAUAUUAUUUUGACUCCUCUUAUCUUUUUUUUUUCUCAAAGAUAUUAAGUUAUUUUAUUUCAUCAUUGGUAGAAAUAAAACAAGCAGGUGUCUAAAUUUAGGACAAGUACAAAGAAAGUGUCUCCCAAAAUAUCACUAUUGUGAUAAAAAGGUUGCGAGAACUGAAUCGGUCAUCAAGUCGGUCAAGUGAUUAGUUCAAUAAUUUAAUCGGGGUCGAACCGUAGUUAAACCGUUUUAAUUCAAUAUACAUUCAAAUUAUUAAAAUUUAAUAUACAAAUAGAUAUUAUAGAAACUAAAGCAGUAACUAGGUAUUAUUAUUUGUACAUUUCAGUGUAAAAGAGUCAUGUAUAUCAUAAUUAAAUCAAUUUUCUCUUGUAUUUUCAAAUUCUCUUUCACUCUACAACUUCUUGGCUCUUGCACAACAAUAAACUGGUGUUGGUGCUGCAUAAUUCUCCUAUUCAAGUUCUUCAUCUCAGAACAACUCCUUUACCUUUAAUGACAUUCUUGGCAACAACAUACACUUCUUGCUUUUGGAGGCUAGAACCAAGCAGAUCAAAUUCAAUAAUCACAAAAAAAAAUUCAGAAUAACAAACUUACAUAAAAAUUCAAAUCACUGGCAACAAAAAAUUCAGAAUCAUAAAAAAUUUCAACAAAGACUUCUAAUCAAGUAUUUAAUAAUAAAAACUCAGCAUUUAAAAACAGAAAACUCGGCCUCCAAAGUAAAAAAAUACGAAAACAGAAAAACUAAAAGAAUUUAUACUCAAAACAAAGAAUCCAUACUCAGCAUCAAAGUAAAUUCAGAAUCACAUCACCAACAACCCCAAACUCAGAACACACAAUUAACAAAAUUAGCAACCACCGUUAAAAUCAACCAUCAACCCCAACUCAGAAUGCCAGCAAUCCAGAAUCCAGACCAAUAUAUCAAUUCAUAGUUCAUAUUUCACACAAUUCAUAUGGCAUUCAACAGAGCAGAAUUGAAAAAAUAAAAAAAAUUGAACAGAGCAGAAUUGAAUUUCAUAAAAGAAUUGAAGAACAGAGCAAAGCAGAAUUCUCAAAUUCAACAUACAUUAAAUUUAUUCAACAUUUGAUUAAUCAUAUAAUAAACAAAAUUUAAAAAUUUAAAAACACAAGAACAGAAGAACAGAAAUCCAGAACAAACAAUGAAAACAGAAAGAAUAGAAGAAGAGAACAGAACGACCCGCGACGAGAAAAGACAGAACAAAAUAUGAAAACACAAGAAUAGAAGAGCCAGAAGCCCAUAACUAACCGCAAGAGAAGUAGAGAACAGAAGGCCAGAAGCUCGAGCCUCGAAGUAGAGAACAGAACGACCCGCGACGUUGAGGCGACGACCCACGACGCUGAGGCAACGACCCGCAACAGUGGCGCUUGCUCCAGCGUCUGCUUCGAAUCACGACGGCGGUUGUCCUUCGUGGGCAGAAGCUCGAGCCUGGAAGAGCUUAGGGUUGGGAGUGGGGGUGUUCUUCACUUCUUCGAAGAGAUUAGCUUAUUAGGGAUUUGGGGUAAGCCUGCAACACGCGUUCUUCACUCUUCAGCCUUCAUUUUCUUUCUUUUUUUUUCUUUUUUAUAAAGCCAAACAACGCUGUUUUGCUGGCUGGGGGGAAGAACUGGUUCGCCCAGUUUGCCGAUUAACCACCGGUUUAGCCGAUUUUUUUGCCAGUUUUUUGAAGUGCGGUUUUGUAGGUGGACCGGACCGACUAGUGACCAGUUUUCGGUUAAUUCGGUUGAACCGGCCAGUCUGGUCCGAUUUUCAGAACAUUGGAUAAAAUUGACAAAUAAUUAAGGUAACGUUUGUUUUGAAGUAUUAGAACAGAGACUAGAAGACUGAGACUUAGUAUUAUGUUUGUUGACUCAAAGACUGGUACUAAAAUUUCUGUCUCUAUCUCCAAAAUUUCAGUAUUUCAGUACCUCCAAAAGGUGGGGUCACUGUAGACUGAAAUUUUUAGAGGUAGAAACUAAAAUUUGAGUAACAUUUUAUAUCUAAAAUAUUCUCAUUUCAAUUAAUUAAUUCAAAUUUUACCCUUUGUACAAAUUAAAUUAGAGCUUUAUUCUUGUUUCAAUUUCUGUCUUCCAUCUUACACCAAACACAAUAAGAGAAGAGAAGAGGAAAGUAACGGAUCUUAAGGUUGAGGGAGCAUGGAACUCCCCAGACCGUUCUGAUAGCUCCUCAUCGCUGCUGCCAUAAUCUCCACCAGGGCUUGCCUCUUCUGCUCAAAGACCAGGAGGUUCCUCACCUUCCAGAUUUCAACACACAAGUGCGCUGCUACCUCCAUCAGCUGUCGCGCAUCUGGUUGGUGAGAGAGGGUUGUCUUCAGGUUCUUCCACCAUUGAUGGAAGUGUCCCGAGUAGUUCAUCUGAAGGUAUGGCCGAAGGCAUCAAUCAUGUAUAUUAUGAGACGGAGUUCAGGACAGAAUGGUGUCUAGGAAAUUCUCUAAGGGAGCUGCCAUGCGCUUGUUGAGCGACAAAGUUGUUUCUGCAGUGGACACUCCCCCAUGACAUGUCCACGUACAAAUUACUGACCUACUUUCGCACAUACUUGGUAUACACAGAAUAGCAUACACCACACAAAGAUUUUGAAGACCCUAGUAACAACAUAUUCCUAGGUAGCUGUGGCUGAAUCAGUUAAUUUGGAUGUAACAAUCUAACAGGACCAUAUUUUAUCUGCGUUUAGCUAAUACAUAUCUAUCACGUGUAGUACAGUUAUCAGUUACAUAUAAAGUGAUAAUUACAGUGA